rnacentral:rRNA from 1 species
ACACGUCUACAUUAGAUACCCCGGUAGUCCCAGCCGUAAACUAUGCGCGUUAGGUGUAUCGGUGACCACGAGUUACCGAGGUGCCGAAGGGAAACCGUGAAACGUGCCGCCUGGGAAGUACGGUCGCAAGGCUGAAACUUAAAGGAAUUGGCGGGGGAGCACCGCAACGGGAGGAGCGUGCGGUUUAAUUGGAUUCAACACCGUAAACUCACCAGGGAAGACUGUUACAUGAAGGCCGAGAUGAAGACUCUGCUAGAUUUUCAG